UACGUAGGGUGCAAGCGUUGUCCGGAAUUAUUGGGCGUAAAGGGCUCGUAGGCGGUCCGUCACGUCGGGAGUGAAAUUCUGGGGCUUAACCCCAGAACUGCUUCCGAUACGGGCAGACUAGAGGUAGGUAGGGGAGAAUGGAAUUCCUGGUGUAGCGGUGGAAUGCGCAGAUAUCAGGAGGAACACCAGUGGCGAAGGCGGUUCUCUGGGCCUUACCUGACGCUGAGGAGCGAAAGCGUGGGGAGCAAACAGG
rnacentral:rRNA from 1 species